CCUACGGGCGGCAGCAGUAGGGAAUCUUCCACAAUGGACGCAAGCCUGAUGGAGCAACGCCGCGUGAGUGAAGAAGGUCUUCGGAUCGUAAAACUCUGUUGUUAGAGAAGAAAAUGUGCGAGAGUAACUGUUCACGUCUCGACGGUAUCUAACCAGAAAGCCACGGCGAACUACGUGCCAGCAGCCGCGGUAAUACGUAGGUGGCAAGCGUUGUCCGGAUUUAUUGGGCGUAAAGGGAACGCAGACGGUUCUUUAAGUCUGAUGUGAAAGCCCUCGGCUGAACCGUAGUAGUGCAUUGGAAACUGGGAGACUUGAGUGCAGAAGAGGAGAGUGGAAUUCCAUGUGUAGCGGUGAAAUGCGUAGAUAUAUGGAAGAACACCAGUGGCGAAGGCGGCUCUCUGGUCUGUAACUGACGCUGAGGCUCGAAAGCGUGGGUAGCAAACAGGAUUAGAUACCCUUGUAGUC
rnacentral:rRNA from 1 species